GACGAACGCUGGCGGCGUGCUUAACACAUGCAAGUCGAACGAUGAAGCUUGGCUUGCUAGGUGGAUUAGUGGCGAACGGGUGAGUAACACGUAGGUAAUCUGCCCUGCACUUUGGGAUAAGCCUGGGAAACUGGGUCUAAUACCGAAUAGGACACACUAUCUUUACGGUGGUGUGUGGAAAGCUUUUGCGGUGUGGGAUGAGCCUGCGGCCUAUCAGCUUGUUGGUGGGGUAAUGGCCUACCAAGGCGUCGACGGGUAGCCGGCCUGAGAGGGUGUACGGCGACAUUGGGACUGAGACACGGCCCAGACUCCUACGGGAGGCAGCAGGGGGGAAUAUUGCACAAUGGGCGAAAGCCUGAUGCAGCGACGCCGCGUGGGGGAUGAAGGCCUUCGGGUUGUAAACUCCUUUCGCUAGGGACGAAGAGUUACAUUGACGGUACCUGGAGAAGAAGCACCGGCUAACUACGUGCCAGCAGCCGCAGUAACAC
rnacentral:rRNA from 1 species